rnacentral:rRNA from 1 species
CCUACGGGAGGCAGCAGUGGGGAAUUUUGCGCAAUGCUGGUAAGAGUGACGCAGCGACGCCGCGUGAAUGACGAAGGCCUUCGGGUCGUAAAGUUCUUUCGGCAGGGAAGAAAAUGCAUAUAUGUAACUGUGUAUGUAUUGACGGUACCUGUAUAAGCAGCACCGGCUAACUCCGUGCCAGCAGCCGCGGUAAUACGGAGGGGGCGAGCGUUGUUCGGAGUGACUGGGCGUAAAGAGCACGUAGGCGGGGUUGUAAGUGAUUAGUCAAAGACUAGAGCUCAACUUUAGUAAGGCUAGUUAUACUAUAAUACGAGAGUAUCAGAGAGGAGUGCAGAAUUCCGGGUGUAGCGGUGAAAUGCGUAGAGAUCAGGAGGAAUACCGAUAGCGAAGGCAGCAAUCUGGCUGGAAACUGACGCUGAUGUGCGAAAGCGUGGGUAGCAAACAGGAUUAGAUACCCGAGUAGUC